AUGACAUACGAGGGAGUGUUCUAUCAAGAGCAACCUGAUGAUGAUGAUGAUGUGGUUAGAAACGAUGACGCUAGACCAUUGGGUGAUGAUGAUGUGGACCCAAACGUCGACGAUGCACGGAAUGAUGGUGAGACCAUUGUCAAUGAAAAUGACAUACUUAUGCUAGAAAAGUUAAACGAAGACGCUGACGACGAGGAAGAGCCUCCACCUCCGUCGGACAACGAAGAUGAUAUGAUUGAUAGUGAUGAUGAGACGGACCGAGAAAGAGGUUACAACAGUGAUGAUUCAUAUGGGUUCUAG
rnacentral:rRNA from 1 species